rnacentral:misc_RNA from 1 species
CUUAGUUUGGCAGUGUGUUUAUAAGGGCGGAGAUGGGAUAGAUUCAAUUGGAGAGCUAACAGAAAAAAGCCACCAAAUUUUUUAUCCUUUUCCCACCUGAAAGAAAAAGGAAAAGAAAAAAAAAAAAANNNNNNNCUAGCUUUAGCUGCUUAGAUUUUUUUCUUUUUGGCUUGGGUAAAAUCAGAUUUGCAUGCUACCGUGCAAAAAAGAAAAUGGAAUUCAAUUUUCAAGAACCUGGG